GAUCUCGUAGUGACCUGCGGAGGGAUCAUUACAAGAACGCCCGGGCUUCGGCCUGGUUAUUCAUAACCCUUUGUUGUCCGACUCUGUUGCCUCCGGGGCGACCCUGCCUUCGGGCGGGGGCUCCGGGUGGACACUUCAAACUCUUGCGUAACUUUGCAGUCUGAGUAAACUUAAUUAAUAAAUUAAAACUUUUAACAACGGAUCUCUUGGUUCUGGCAUCGAUGAAGAACGCAGCGAAAUGCGAUAAGUAAUGUGAAUUGCAGAAUUCAGUGAAUCAUCGAAUCUUUGAACGCACAUUGCGCCCCCUGGUAUUCCGGGGGGCAUGCCUGUUCGAGCGUCAUUUCACCACUCAAGCCUCGCUUGGUAUUGGGCAACGCGGUCCGCCGCGUGCCUCAAAUCGUCCGGCUGGGUCUUCUGUCCCCUAAGCGUUGUGGAAACUAUUCGCUAAAGGGUGUUCGGGAGGCUACGCCGUAAAACAACCCCAUUUCUAAGGUUGACCUCGGAUCAGGUAGGGAUACCCGCUGAACUUAAGCAUAUCUUA
rnacentral:rRNA from 1 species